GAUGAACGCUGGCGGCGUGCCUAAUACAUGCAAGUAGAACGCUGAAGGAGGAGCUUGCUCUUCUGGAUGAGUUGCGAACGGGUGAGUAACGCGUAGGUAACCUGCCUGGUAGCGGGGGAUAACUAUUGGAAACGAUAGCUAAUACCGCAUGACAACAGUUAUUGCAUGAUAACUGUUUAAAAGGGGCAACUGCUCCACUACCAGAUGGACCUGCGUUGUAUUAGCUAGUUGGUGAGGUAACGGCUCACCAAGGCGACGAUACAUAGCCGACCUGAGAGGGUGAUCGGCCACACUAGGACUGAGACAAGGCCCAGACGCCUAAGGGAGACAGCAGUAGGGGAUCGUCGGCAAUGGACGGAAGUCUGACCGAGCAACGCCGCGUGAGUGAAGAAGGUUUUCGGUUCGUAAAGCUCUGUUGUAAGAGAAGAACGAGUGUGAGAGUGGAAAGUUCACACUGUGACGGUAUCUUACCAGAAAGGGACGGCUAACUACGUG
rnacentral:rRNA from 1 species